UGUUAAGUUACUAAGGGUGUACGGUGGAUGCCCAGGCAUCAGGAGGCGAUGAAGGGCGUGGCCAGCUACGAUAAGCCUCGGGGAGCCGCAAGCAGGCCGUGAUCCGGGGAUGCCCGAAUGGGGAAACCCAGGCGAUGAAUGCCGCCUAUCCUCCGCUGAAUCCAUAGGCGGAGCGAAGCCCACGCAGGGAAGUGAAACAUCUCAGUACCUGCAGGAAAAGAAAGCAACCGCGAUUCCCCCAGUAGUGGCGAGCGAAAAGGGAACAGCCUAAACCCCACAUAUGCCAAGCCCGUGAGCGUUGUAUGUGGGGUGUCGUAGGCCUUCGCCAGACGACGACACGGCGUUGUCAGCGAGUCAAAAACCAGGAUCUUAGCAGAACGGCCUGGAAAGGCCGGCCACAGAGGGUGACAGCCCCGUAUGCGAAAAGACCCUGGCUCGUUGGGUGAAGGUCCUGAGUACCACGGGGCCCGAGAAACCUUGUGGGAAUCUGGGAGGACCACCUUCCAAGGCUGAAUACUACCUGAUGACCGAUAGCGUACCAGUACCGUGAGGGAAAGGUGAAAAGAACCCCGGUGAGGGGAGUGAAAUAGAACCUGAAACCGUAUACCUACAAGCAGCGAAAGGGCUAUGGCCCGUAAGGGCAAGGCCUGAUCGCGUGCCUUUUGCUUAAUGAGCCGGCGAGUUAUUCUGCGCAGCAAGGUUAAGCCGGAGAGGCGGAGCCGCAGCGAAAGCGAGUCCGAAAUGGGCGUUGAGUUGCGUAGAAUAGACCCGAAGCGAGGUGAUCUACCCAUGGCCAGGGUGAAUCCGCCGUAACAGGCGGAGGAGGCCCGAACCGAUGUUUGUUGCAAAAAGCUCGGAUGAGCUGUGGGUAGGGGUGAAAGGCCAAUCAAACCUCGUAAUUGCUGGUUCUCCCCGAAAUAGCUUUAGGGCUAGCCUCGUUUCAGCCGUGGCGGAGGUAGAGCACUGGAUGAGCUAGGGGCGUUCCAACGCUACCGAACCCAACCAAACUCCGAAUGCCGCCACUGGACGGACGGGAGUCAGACUACGGGCGCUAAGGUCCGUGGUCAAAAGGAAAACAGUCCAGACCGCCAGCUAAGGUCCCCAAUCGUGAGCUAAGUGGGAAAGGUUGUAAGUUUGCUCAGACAGCCAGGAGGUUGGCUUAGAAGCAGCCACCCUUUAAAGAGUGCGUAAUAGCUCACUGGUCGAGCGAACCUGCGCCGAAAAUGUAACGGGGCUUAAGUUCACAACCGAAGCUGCGGACUUGGCAGCCGCAAGGCUGCUGAGUGGUAGGGGAGCAUUCUCUGGAACGCGAAGGUUGACCGACAAGGACAACUGGAUUCCAGAGAAGAGAUUAUGCCGGCAUAAGUAGCGAUAAACGAUGUGAGAAUCAUCGUCCCCGUAAGCCCAAGGUUUCCUGGCCUAUGUUCGUCAGGUCAGGGUUAGUCGGUCCCUAAGCCGAGGCCGAAAGGCGUAGGCGAUGGAAAACAGGUCAAUAUUCCUGUACCGCCGCGUUGGCGUGAUCAGCGAAGGGGGGACGCAGGAGGGUAGGUACCGCCGGGUCCCUGGAAUACCCGGUCUAAGCAUGUAGGCGGGGCUCGUAGGCAAAUCCGCGAGCCCGUUACCGCCGAGAUGUGAUGGGGAGGCCGCAAGGCCACAAACGGACCGAUCCCACACUGCCGAGAAAAGCCUCGUAGCGAGUCAACGUGGUGACCGUACCGCAAACCGACACAGGUGGGUGGGUGGAAUACACUCAGGGGCGUGAGAGAACACUCCCUAAGGAACUCUGCAAUCUAACCCCGUAACUUCGGAAGAAGGGGUGCCUCGCGUACGUGAGGGGCUUUACGCUCCGAGCGGAACGAGGUUGCAAUAAAGUGGCUCUAGCGACUGUUUACCAAAAACACAGGACUCUGCGAACACGCAAGUGGACGUAUAGGGUCUGAUGCCUGCCCGGUGCUGGAAGGUUAACCGGAGGUGUUAGCCGCAAGGCGAGGCACUGAAGCGAAGCCCCAGUAAACGGCGGCCGUAACUAUAACGGUCCUAAGGUGGGUGAAGCUGCCUUAGUAAAAUCUGGCCAUAUGCUGGAACGUCUGAGAAUCUCCGACUACUUGUCGAGCAAUCGACAGUGACAAUGUCUGGAGUGCAGAUUAUCAGCAGGAAAGAUCGCAUCCAAGGACGGGUGCGAAAUCCUCAGAGACUUGACGCCAGACAGUCUGAGCUCUUUCCAGUUCAGAUUGAAGGGAAAGUCCGACCUGCAUGGCGACAUGCAGAGACCGGCAGAAAUGCCCGGUCCCCAUCAUAAGGCUAAACAGACCAGAUGGGUAACAAGAGUGAGCGAAAUUCCUUGUCGGGUAAGUUCCGACCUGCAUGAAUGGCAUAACGACUGGAGCGCUGUCUCGGGGAGUGACUCAGCGAAUUUGUUGUUCCGGUGAAGAAGCCGGGUACCCGCAACUAGACGGAAAGACCCUGUGCACCUUUACUACAACUUGACAUUGGGUGUUGGACGAGUAUGUGUAGGAUAGGUGGGAGGCUGUGAAGCGGGGGCGCUAGUUCCCGCAGAGCCACCGUUGAAAUACCACCCUUACUUUUCUGGCAUUCUAACCCGGCCCUGUUAGCCAGGGCGAGGACAGUGUCUGGUGGGUAGUUUGACUGGGGCGGUCGCCUCCCAAAAGGUAACGGAGGCGCCCAAAGGUUCCCUCAGGCUGGUCGGUAAUCAGCCGUCGAGUGUAAAGGCAGAAGGGAGCUUGACUGCGAGACCGACAGGUCGAGCAGAGACGAAAGUCGGGCUUAGUGAUCCGGUGGUUCUGUGUGGAAGGGCCAUCGCUCAACGGAUAAAAGGUACGCCGGGGAUAACAGGCUGAUCUCCCCCAAGAGUUCACAUCGACGGGGAGGUUUGGCACCUCGAUGUCGACUCAUCGCAUCCUGGGGCUGAAGCUGGUCCCAAGGGUCGGGCUGUUCGCCCGUUAAAGCGGUACGAGAGUUGGGUUCAGAACGUCGUGAGACAGUUCGGUCCCUAUCUGUUGUGGGCGGAGGAGAUUUGAGAGGGCCUCUCGCUAGUACGAGAGGACUGCGAGGGACGGACCUCUAGUGUGCCGGUUGUCGCGCCAGCGGCAGCGCCGGGUAGCUAUGUCCGGUUGGGAUAACCGCUGAAAGCAUCUAAGCGGGAAGCCUGCCUCAAGAUGAGAUCUCCCGGAGGGUAACCUCCCUAAAGGCCACUCGUAGACUACGAGUUUGAUAGGCUGGGUGUGGAAGCGCUGUGAGGCGUGAAGCUAACCAGUACUAAUCGGCCGUGAGGCUUAACAUC
rnacentral:rRNA from 1 species